rnacentral:rRNA from 1 species
GAUUUCUGGUUCGGCGAACUUAGCCCGUUUCGGUUUACGAGAUUGUGUGCUUGUGUGCGCCAUCCAUCCUUCGAUGUGAAAUAUUUCUACCCUUUACUGGGCCGGGAAUAUAUUAACUCGAUCUUUUACUUUGAAAAAAUUAGAGUGUUUAAAGCAGGCUUUUGCUAUGAAUACAUUAGCAUGGAAUAAUAAUCUAGGACUUCGGUUCUAUUUUGUUGGUUUCUAUAACUGAAGUAAUGAUUGAUAGGGAUAGUUGGGGGUGCUAGUAUUGGCCGGCCAGAGGUGAAAUUCUUGGAUUCGGUCAAGACUAACUUAUGCGAAAGCAUU